AAGGAAUGAUGGAAAGAAGAAAAGCAGCAAAGAAGGAAAUAAAAUUUUAUUUUGGACUGAAGAAAAGGAGAAAUAUUUAAGGUGAUGCAUGAGGAAAGGUCAGAAUAGAAAUAGGAGAAUGGAGUAUGGGAUUGGAGCCAGACAUUACUAGAUAGACCAGCAUCAUGAACCCAUAUUCAAAGUGAAUGAGGAGAGGAACUUUCAGGUAAGGAUGAACAGCUAUUCCUGUGGGGAACUUUGUGAGAUGUGACAAUACUUUGUGAAAGAUGCGACAUGUCUUGGUUUAUCUUUAAUUCCAGGAUGGCAAAGAAACAUGGCACGCCUUCAGCACUAUGAAUAUCCACAGAAACAUAGCCCUGUAUUCCUACUUGGAAGGUUCGUGACUUUGGGGAGAAUUGAAAACAUGCUCUUGACUUGGGCAUCAUCUGAGUCAUGCAACUCGUACAAUAAGAAAUCUUCCCAAAUCUCCAUCUUCUCAGAGAAGCGCUGGGGGAAAAUAGCUGCCGUCAUGUGUAUGCACACACUCCAGGAAAGGCAAAGGGUUCUUCCGAUGCUGAGACAAUGGGAGGCUGACAUUCAUGCUUUCAUGUUUCUCCAUGAGGUGGAAAUCAGGUACUUAGAGGCUGUCAUUGGGAACAUAGCCCUCGUCCUGGAGUCUCAGUCUGACAGAGCCCUAGGCAGCAGGGGGUGGAGGAAGGAGAGAGAGAAGGAGGAGAGAUUGAAGUCAGCUUUACUGACCCUAACUAAACAUUUCAUUUCCUUGACUCUUUCAACCAGAGGAAUUGAAGACUUGCUGGUGGAUCUCAUUAUGAUGUCUGGAUCUACCCUGGAACAGCAGACAAAACUUUCUGAUGCCAAUUAUUUCUCCAUACUUCUCAAUAUCACCCACUCUGAAAUCAAUAUCACUGUGCUCCAUUUAUUCAUAAGUAGGCUUCCUACAGGUCACCUCCAAGUACUUUGAUUACAUUCACAUUUCUUUAAAAAAUUUUAUAUCAUAGAAAUCUUUGUAGCAAUAUCCAAAAUUCAUUUUUCACACCUUCAAUCACAGAGACAUUCAUACAUAUUGAACACAGAAUAAAAAUUUACAAGACAGAAUAACCUUAAUUUCG
rnacentral:lncRNA from 1 species